AGCGAACGCUGGCGGCAGGCCUAACACAUGCAAGUCGAACGAACCUUUCGGGGUUAGUGGCGGACGGGUGAGUAACACGUGGGAACGUACCUUUAGGUUCGGAAUAACUCAGGGAAACUUGUGCUAAUACCGAAUGUGCCCUUCGUGGGAAAGAUUAAUCGCCGUUAGAGCGGCCCGCGUCUGAUUAGCUAGUUGGUUGAGGUAAUGGCUCACCAAGGCGACGAUCAGUAGCUGGUCUGAGAGGAUGAUCAGCCACAUUGGGACUGAGACACGGCCCAAACUCCUACGGGAGGCAGCAGUGGGGAAUCUAGCGCAAUGGGCGAAAGCCUGACGCAGCCAUGCCGGGUGAAUGAUGAAGGUCUUAGGAUUGUAAAAUUGUUUAACAGGGGACGAUAAUGACGGUACCCGGAGAAGAAGCACCGGCUAACUUCGUG
rnacentral:rRNA from 1 species